CUGGUUUUUAAAAUAGUAUUAAUUUAAGUCUACCGUGCCCCACUUGACUGCAGAGCACUUGUGUUUAAAUAAGAAUUUAAACGUGCAUUUUUUUUUUUGCCUUUGUAGCUCCUACCUCUGCAAGAUAAACAACAGUUGUGCAACUUAAUUGAUGAAUAUAAAACGUUCCAUGCUGUCUUGGCUCAGCGUGGGCCAGGACCGAUUGCCGGAACAGGCUGCUAAUUGCAGAGGAGGCACCUGGCCGCUUACUGGGGAUCACAGGCACACCUGGCCCACAUUAUGGUGGGAUGCGACCUGACAGACAGCUGAAGAUGCGCUCAGCCUCCCCUCCCCCCGGUUGGGCUCCCUGUAUUAGAGGUCAGAGCACCAUUUCCCCCGCGAACCUUCUAUUGCUGUUAUAGGACUGCCGGCGUGGGCACCGUACACAGGCCUUGGUGGGUCUUAAACACCUGUAUCUCAGUUUUUAAAGGCUGCUCUAGCGAGCGUAACUUCAGAGACUUAAUUUACGCCGUCGAUAUGAUUUGUUCGCUGUCACCGCAUGUUUAUUUUAAUACAAAGUAAAGAAAUAAGCGCAUGUUUGCUUGGAAAAUAGAUGAAGGCCUAAAUAUAAAUAAGUUAAUAAUUCAUAUGAAAACUAAUACCAUAUUUAUGUUGUAUCAUGCAUCAUUAAACGUGAUAUCCAUUUUUGAUAAUUAUGUAUGUUUAAUUGAUUAAGACAUAGGUGCUUUUAUGCAUUGUCUCUAAUUGUUCUUCAGAAGUAGGUGUGUGUCAACAGUAUUUGACACAUGGGCUGUGUUUUGCAUCUCCUUGCAUAAUUUAAUGGUCCCCGUAUAGUUAACAAUAAUAUGACAACAGCCCUUUCAUGUCAUUUUAUACUUUUUAAGCAGAAAUGAAAUUCAAAAAAAGCUUUUUUUAAUAAUUUCUUUUACUCAGCACUUGGGCUGCGGAGUGAAUGUGCGGUGAGGCGUAUGUGAAACUGGCCGGAUCCCAUUUGGACUUGGUGAAAAUUGUCAUCUUUGUUUACAUUUAUAUUGUUCAUCGUGCAUAGAGAGUGAAUCAGCUGGGCGACUUGUCAAUAUUUUUGUGGUUAUCAAAGGGCCGCAAAUGUUUUUUUUUUUUUUUUUUUUU
rnacentral:lncRNA from 1 species